rnacentral:rRNA from 1 species
UACGUAGGGGGCAAGCGUUGUCCGGAAUCAUUGGGCGUAAAGAGCGUGUAGGCGGCCCGAUAAGUCCGCUGUGAAAGUCAAGGGCUUAACCCUUGAAUGCCGGUGGAAACUGUCGGGCUAGAGUCCGGAAGAGGCGAGUGGAAUUCCUGGUGUAGCGGUGAAAUGCGCAGAUAUCAGGAAGAACACCCGUGGCGAAGGCGGCUCUCUGGGACGGUACUGACGCUGAGACGCGAAAGCGUGGGGAGCGAACAGG